UUGAACGCUGGCGGCAUGCCUUACACAUGCAUGUCGAACGGUAACAGGUCUUCGGAUGCUGACGAGUGGCGAACGGGUGAGUAAUACAUCGGAACGUGCCCGAGAGUGGGGGAUAACGGAGCGAAAGCUUUGCUAAUACCGCAUAUGCCCUGAGGGGGAAAGUGGGGGAUCGCAAGACCUCACGCUUUCGGAGUGGCCGAUAUCGGAUUAGCUAGUUGGUGGGGUAAAGGCCCACCAAGGCGACGAUCCGUAGCUGGUCUGAGAGGACGACCAGCCACACUGGGACUGAGACACGGCCCAGACUCCUACGGGAGGCAGCAGUGGGGAAUUUUGGACAAUGGGGGCAACCCUGAUCCAGCCAUGCCGCGUGAGUGAAGAAGGCCUUCGGGUUGUAAAGCUCUUUCGGACGGAAAGAAACGGUCACGGCCAAUACCCGUGGCUAAUGACGGUACCGUCAGAAGAAGCACCGGCUAACUACGU
rnacentral:rRNA from 1 species